rnacentral:rRNA from 1 species
CCAGUGACAAACUGGAGGAAGGCGGGGACGACGUCAAGUCAUCAUGGCCCUUACGACCAGGGCUACACACGUGCUACAAUGGUCGGUACAAAGGGUUGCUACCUAGCGAUAGGAUGCUAAUCUCAAAAAGCCGAUCGUAGUCCGGAUUGGAGUCUGCAACUCGACUCCAUGAAGUCGGAAUCGCUAGUAAUCGUAGAUCAGCUAUGCUACGGUGAAUACGUUCCCGGGUCUUGUACUCACCGCCCGUCACACCAUGGGAGUUGAACUCAUUCGAAGCGGGGAUGCUAAAGUAGCUACCUUCCACANGUGGAUUCAGCGACU